rnacentral:rRNA from 1 species
UACGUAGGUGGCAAGCGUUGUCCGGAUUUACUGGGCGUAAAGAGCGCGCAGGCGGUCGUUCAAGUCGCGUGUGAAAGCCCCCGGCUCAACUGGGGAGGGUCACGCGAUACUGGUCGACUCAAAGGCAGGAGAGGGUAGUGGAAUUCCCGGUGUAGUGGUGAAAUGCGUAGAUAUCGGGAGGAACACCAGUGGCGAAGGCGACUACCUGGCCUGUUUCUUGACGCUGAGGCGCGAAAGCUAGGGGAGCAAACGGG